AAAGUCGUAACAAGGUUUCCGUAGGUGAACCUGCGGAAGGAUCAUUACUAAUGUUUACACAUUCUUAACAAAUCAACCUUAUGUGAACCUAAUUGACGUUGACUGGGACCAGUCUGCGGGUUGCUAGCCCUGGUCUAUUUAUAGGCUGGGAAAGGCGAUUCGUCGGCAGGGACCAGUUGACCCCAACAUACAUAUUUAACACUUAUGCCUUGAUAUCCGUCCUUGAACCUGGGCAGUAAUGUCUGAGUCUUGGACAACUAAGGGUAAAAAACUUUUAGCAACGGAUCUCUUGGCUCUC
rnacentral:misc_RNA from 1 species